rnacentral:lncRNA from 1 species
CAGAUCGUUGCCGCUGUUUUUAAUUAUUCUGGGGUCCCCUGUUUCCCUUCCUGGAGGCGCAGAUUUGGCUAAAUCCCUCCGCCCCACUAGUCGCGGAACCGGGCCGGACCAGCCCUUAAACCGUUGACAUAAAGACUUCUAGGCUUCUUGUACUUUUGUCUCUGGUUGAAGACUUUCUCCUGCAUUGUGGGCACUUCAUUGUACCGUGGAAGUGAAAACUGUGGUCCUGUGCUUGAAGUAUUCUCUUCAGUGUUUAAAUUUUCCUGCCCAAUUCAGAUGACAGAAUUUAAAGAAGACAAGAAUGGCAAGUGAAGAUUGUGAGAUGAGAAGCAGACAAAAACAAGGGAGGCAAAUUGAUUGAGUUUGUUAUUUUUGUUGGCUUCCUAUAUAAAGCUAGAAAAUGAUCAAAGCAGAUGAUGCAUGUGUAUGUUUAAACCUCUUCUAUCUCAUCUAUACUACUUAUUUGUUUGUUUAUUUAUUUUUGCAGCUUUAAAAUUGAAAAUUGAAAUGUUCUACCUUGAAAAUAGGCAUGGAAUAUCUUGCUUUUUCUUUUCUUUUAACUAAUCAAACAAACCAAAAUAUAUCCAAGGGAAAACAGACUUUUGAAUUUGACUGAGUUAACAAAUAGGAAAUGAAAAAAAAAAAAAGUCUAUUUUCAUAAAAUAAGAUUUGCCUUGUAUAAUAUUUGACUACAAUUUACCGUUUAUUUCAUUCAAUCAUUUAUUUAUAUCAGGGCCUUUUUAUGUAUGUAUCUAGCCACAACACGUCUGUAUAUAUUUUUGUCUAUUUUUUGGAUUAAAUUUCCAGUGAUCUUGAAGUUCUGCAAAUACUCUAUCA